rnacentral:rRNA from 1 species
CGGCGAUACCCGAAUGGGGAAACCCAGUGUGACUCGUCACACUAUCAUUAACUGAAUCCAUAGGUUAAUGAGGCGAACCGGGGGAACUGAAACAUCUAAGUACCCCGAGGAAAAGAAAUCAACCGAGAUUCCCCCAGUAGCGGCGAGCGAACGGGGAGGAGCCCAGAGCCUGAAUCAGCAUGUGUGUUAGUGGAAGCGUCUGGAAAGGCGCGCGAUACAGGGUGACAGCCCCGUACACAAAAGCGCAUGUGCUGUGAGCUCGAUGAGUAGGGCGGGACACGUGGUAUCCUGUCUGAAUAUGGGGGGACCAUCCUCCAAGGCUAAAUACUCCUGACUGACCGAUAGUGAACCAGUACCGUGAGGGAAAGGCGAAAAGAACCCCGGCGAGGGGAGUGAAAAAGAACCUGAAACCGUGUACGUACAAGCAGUGGGAGCA